rnacentral:rRNA from 1 species
GACGAACGCUGGCGGCGUGCUUAACACAUGCAAGUCGAACGGAAAGGCCCUGCUUGCAGGGUACGCGCGUGGCGAACGGGUGAGUAAAACGUGGGAGAUCUGCGCUGCACUUCGGGAUAAGACUGGGAAACUGGGUCUAAUACCGGAUAGAAGCCCUUCUUAGUGUGAUGGUUGGAAAGUUUUUUCGGUGUAGGAUGAGCUGGCGGCCUAUUAGCUUGUUGGUGGGGUAAUGGCUUACUAAGGCUGCGACGGGUAGCCGGCCUGGGAGGGUGGCCGGCCAAAUUGGGACUGAGUUCCGGCCCAGCCCCGUCGGGGAGCCAGCAGUGGGGAAUUUUGCCCAAUGGCGGGAAGCUUGAUGCAGCACUCCCGGGUGCGGGAUGACGGCUUUCGGGUGGUAAACCGCUUCCCCCUGUGCCGAAGCGUGUGUGACGGUACUGGGUAAAGAAGCACCGGCUAACUACGUG